AGCUGUCAGCACAGAGCCCCAUCCAGGGGUUUGAACUCAUGAACCCUGAGAUUAUGACCUGAGUUGAAGUCGGAUGCUUAACCAGCUGAGCCACCCAGGUGCCCCAAUGUUGAUAUUUUCUGAAACAAGACCCAGAAGCUUUGGGUCACUUGGUCUAUUGCAGCUGGUGUUGCUGUGAGCACUGUCCUAUGAGCUGCUAACUUGUUAGAAUCAGUAAGCUUUGGAUGUGACCCAUGGAGCUCUGGGAAGGCUGCAGUAACUUUGGACUUGUCCCUCUUUAUGGGGAAGUGAGAUCAUAAGUUUCCUCAUCAGCCUCUCUUUCUUUCAUCUUAGACAUGUUUACAUGAGAAAUUCAGCUUAACCCUGAACUUCCUCAGCUAUAUACUGCUUCUAGGCUGGAAGUUUAAUUCAUUUAUUUUAAAGAGCUCUUCACCUGUCUGUAAGCAGGAAAAAGCCAUUUGUCCAUACUUUUCACUUUUUGGGGGGGUAUAAUUAGAAGUAGCAGAACUCAGAGGCCCAUGCUUCUUGACAAUGAGACCAACAAGACAAAUAUGCUAGAAUGUUUAGAGAAAAUUGAAAAUAGAGACCUAAGUGAAAUCCCAGGGGGUGGUGGGUAUUGUGUCCAAAUUAUCAAAGCCCAUGGUGAUAUGAGGAUGUUAGCUUGUGUGUAUACAUAGUCAUUUGUAUUGACAAAUGUUGUUUUUGUAAUAAAAUUUACAAAAUUUGUAAACGUAUAGAAAAUAAUAAGCCAUUUCACAUUAUAAAUUCAAUCUAAGCCCUAUGCUCCUUUUUCAUACCCCAUUAUCUUUCCUCCCUCUCUGUGGGUAACCACCAGCUUCAGUCAACUUAGUGUUUAUUGUUCCCAGGCAUAUGGACAUAUUUUACCAUAUAUGUGUGUAUCCAAAAAUAACAUGGUAAUGAUGCAUGAAUUGUGUGUACAUAUAUCAAUUAGCAUAACCUAUGGAAUGUCAGCAUAAAGCAACUUUACUUUUGUCUCCAAUAUUAUUUUUGUGCCUUUACAUUGAUUUGUUGGGUAAAGUUCUUCCCCUGCCCAUGGAUGAAAACUGAAGAAGAUCCAUGAUUACUCUUGUCACUUUUGGUUGAAAAAAAAAAAAAAAUCCCAUGAUCAUUAUAAGUCACAAAACACAAUCCCAAUUCAGUAAUUAAAAUGUCUAGGGGACACCUGGGUGGCUCAGUCAGUUGACAUCUGACUCUCGUUUUCGGUCAGGUUGUGGGAUCGAGCCCCAUGUCGGGCUCUGCACCGAGUGUGGAGCCUGCUUAAGAUUCUUUUUCUCUCUCCCUCUGCCCCUCCUCCCCAUCUUAAAAAAAAAAAAAAAAAAGUCCAGUUUGUUAUUGUCAGAACCCCCUCUGGAGAAUAGUGCCCUGUUCGGGGCUUAGCAUUGACCUCUGUUUGCCAUUCAGGCACUCAGCAGUGGCAGUAUCCAGAUCAGUCACAAUGAGAGGAAGUCUGUGUUGUUGAGUCAUAGGUAACUUCCACCUGUGCCGCCAUGAUUAGUUUACAUGGUCCCAUGGUCCCAGGGGGCUGGGAAGAGGCUGACUGCCACCAAAGGACUCUCCACUUCCACACUGGCCAAGUAGCCACCCCCACAAACCAGUGAACCAUGCUCAGAUUUCCUGCUCAUUCAUUCCUCUCAUUGGAAGCCAAGAGAGCCUGGCUGAUGGAGUCCACAGGGAUCAGUUUUCUAGAACAUAAAGGAGCACAAGGAGGAGAAAGAAUCUAGAAGGGCAAAAGGAGACUCUCCAGCCCACCACACAUGCUUGAGUCUGCAUCUGGGUCUCUAUUCUGUUCCAUUGUUCUGACACUGGAAUCCUCAAGAGUAGUUAUCUCUAUGCAAGUCUACUCUGGUGGAGUUUAAGCCGCAGAGAUCUUUCCAGUCUUAGAACUUUACAAGGGGAGUAUACAAAUCACUAUAUUAUCAAGUCAAACACCUUACUAAUCAAGAUGUAGUGAAGUAACUCUGCUAAUGACCAGUCAGCCUGUAUCUUACUCACUUAACAAACUGUUAAAUAGAUGUAACACUCUGCAUGAUGAUGCGUGGUUAGGGAUAGAUCCAAGGGUAGGUAGAAACCACUUCUGCCCUCAUGGAGUCUGAAGGGUUAGGGUGGGGCAGGGAAGAGCAGUGUAUAAAUGAAAUCUAGCACCAACACUCUGACCUCCCUUAUAUGGACUUAAAACAACAAAACAGGAAACAAAGCAUGUUACUCUUGACAAACUAUGACUUUAGGCUAGGAGCCAGGGCCAAGUGGAAUACAGAAGGAACUUAAUUCAGGUCUAAUGACCUCCUUUCUGAAUACUGGCUACCUGAGUACUAUUUACUAUUUAUUAGUGUAAUUGGGAAGCUGAAAAUCUUAUAAAGAAAAAUAAUUUCACAAAAAUCAGAAUAUGGACUAUAUAAGCAGUUAUACUCUACAAAUGCACUUCAUUUUAAAAACAGUCAUCAGAUGAUCCAAGAUAGCUAACAAUACUGAUUUUUUCCUAAUGAAACAUCCUAAUCUUUAAAUUUUUUAAAUGUUUAAUUUUGAGAGAGGGAGAGAGAGAGAGAGAGAGAGAGAGAGAG